rnacentral:rRNA from 1 species
UACGUAGGGUGCAAGCGUUAUCCGGAAUUAUUGGGCGUAAAGAGCUCGUAGGCGGUUUGUCGCGUCUGCUGUGAAAACUGGGGGGCUCAACCCCCCAGCCUGCAGUGGGUACGGGGCAGACUAGAGUGCGGUAGGGGGAGAUUGGAAUUCCUGGUGUAGCGGUGGAAUCGCAGAUAUCAGGAGGAACACCGAUGGCGGAAGGCG